AGGAUGGGUGACCUCCCGGGAAGUCCUCGUGUUGCACCCCUUUUUAUUUUUUAUUUUUUUUAAUGCAUCCUAAGACGAGUCUAAACUUGGAAACCUCAUAACUUUUGAACCGUGAGGAACUACGUCGCCCAUAGCACCAUUUCGGAAAGCCCCAGAAACCAUAAUGGGCGGUGAAUAGGCGGCGCCAAUUUUUCGGGCUCA
rnacentral:lncRNA from 1 species